UACAGAGGGUGCGAGCGUUAAUCGGAAUUACUGGGCGUAAAGCGCGCGUAGGCGGUUAUUUAAGUCGGAUGUGAAAUCCCCGAGCUCAACUUGGGAAUUGCAUUCGAUACCGGGUAGCUAGAGUAUGGGAGAGGAAGGUAGAAUUCCAGGUGUAGCGGUGAAAUGCGUAGAGAUCUGGAGGAAUACCGAUGGCGAAGGCAGCCUUCUGGCCUAAUACUGACGCUGAGGUGCGAAAGCAUGGGGAGCAAACAGGAUUAGAAACCCUUGUAGU
rnacentral:rRNA from 1 species